CAAUAGCGUAUAUUAAAGUUGUUGCAGUUAAAAAGCUCGUAGUUGGAUUUCGGGGCAGCCUGGCUGGUCCGCCGCAAGGCGAGUACUGGUCAGCCGCCCUUCCUCUCGAAAGCCCCGACUGCUCUUUAUUGCAGUGGUCGGGUAGUUCGGGACGUUUACUUUGAAAAAAUUAGAGUGUUCAAGGCAGGCCUACGCCUGAAUACAUUAGCAUGGAAUAAUGGAAGAGGACCUCGGUCCUAUUUUGUUGGUUUCCAGGACCGAAGUAAUGAUUAAGAGGGACAGUUGGGGGCAUUCGUAUUUAAUUGUCAGAGGUGAAAUUCUCGGAUUUAUGAAAGACGAACAACUGCGAAAGCAUUUGCCAAGGAUGUUUUCAUUA
rnacentral:rRNA from 1 species